AUUCAAAAUAACUUUGCGACGUGCCCUCCGGAUGCCACUGAUGAUGUGAUCCAGACACAUGCUCGUGUGUAUAUGUGGUACGUUGUGUCGAGGACUUUGUUUUCUGACUCCACUGGCAAGAACGCUCCAUGGAUGUGGCUGAAGGCGUUGACCGUCUUCGAUAACAAAUGGAGCUGGGGUUGA
rnacentral:rRNA from 1 species